UGGGGAAUAUUGGACAAUGGGCGAAAGCCUGAUCCAGCAAUGCCGCGUGUGUGAAGAAGGUCUUCGGAUCGUAAAACUCUGUUGGUAGAGAAGAACGUUGGUGAGAGUGGAAAGCUCAUCAAGUGACGGUAACUACCCAGAAAGGGACGGCUAACUACGUGCCAG
rnacentral:rRNA from 1 species